UCACUGGGGUGCUGUUUGCUGUUUUUCUGUUUACUGUGGCUGCUGCUGACUUCCGGCCUUGCAGAAACUGAGGCCCCGAGAGUGCAGUGACUUCUUACACUGCAGGCAGAUAGGUGGCUCAGGCAGGAGACGGGAGGAGAAGUCUGGACAGAGGAUCCAAGAUGGCUGAUGAAAAAUCCCCCGGGAGGUGGGGCACCCUGGUGUUCACAGCUCCAGUUGGCUAUGGAGAGGGCAUCGCUGGAUAGAACUGAGAUGGUGCUAGGCUCCUGAGGCUCUGCUGCCCAACCUGGCCUGCUCUGGCUGUUAGUUUCGCCGGACUGGAUGCCACAUGGACACAGGUCUGCGCAGUGUGGCCAGCAUCUGGUUCCAAUGUGUGGUGCCCAUGCCACUGACCCCUGGCCCAAUGAUGACAUGGCCCACGUUGUCCCCACGGCCGUCGCUGCUGCUCUCAGCCACUGUCACCCGGAGAGACAGGUCCUGGGGAGAAGGUGACAUGAAAGAUUGGGACCAGGAGCAGCUAAAGGAUUCUCCCGGCUCCAAGGCUCCAAGGCCCUGUGAGGUGCAUACAGCUCUUUGAAUCUUCCCAUCUGACUUGGGAGAAGAGACUUGUCCUAGUUACUUCUAGAUGGAUAAGCCAGUUAUGAUGUGACCUCACUAAGUGCUAAAAAGUGACAGUCCCAGCAGGAUUCAAAAUCCAUCUCUCACUUCUCUGUCCCUCGACACUUUUUUCUUUAAGAUUUAUUUUUGAGUUUGAAAAGAUGGGUCAGCAAUUAAAUGCACUUGCUGUUCUUGCAGAGAACCUUGGUUUGAGUCCCAGCAUCUACACACUGAUUCAGUCACCUGAGGAUAUCUGAACUCUCUCUGUGGGCAUCUGGCAUGCGUGUUAUGCACAUACAUACAUGCAAGCAAAAUGCUCAUACCCUUAAAAUAAUAAAAACCUUAAAAAGA